CAUUUGUGGCCAUAGUUCACCAGUGUAGUUCAUAUUUAUAGGACUUUAUAUAGUACACUGUUUGUGAUUCAUAUUUCCAAGGUGUUUAAAAACGUUCGUUAGGGAAUUCCUAUUAAUUUACUGUUUCGAUCAAACUGCAGCUUGACAGAUUUAAUAUAACACGUCACGUUUCAAUCUCGCGAGAAAUUGAGUAGACGUGGCAUUGUUCAGUUCAGCUCAUACAACAUGACAUGGUGAUAUGGUAAAAUGAUGAAAACAUGGAAUGAAAAAGUACGAAUAUGCGUUUUAUGUUUAAUAUGGUACUCGAUAAGUUCUCUCAACAAUAUUAUUAAUAAAAAAUUACUCACACAAUUUCCACAUCCUAUUUCAUUGUCUUUGAUACAUUUUCUAUCGUCCGCUGUCUAUCUUGGCCCGUUUCUGAAUUUUUGGAGAGUUCCCAAGCGCCCAAAGAUACCGUAUAGAACGUUUUUACAGCUGAUUGUUCCCUUGGGUUUGGGCAGAAUAUUUGGAUCCGUGUCAGCCCAUAUUACGAUAUGGAAAGUUCCUGUCUCAUAUGCUCAUACAGGUAUGGCUUCAAG